rnacentral:rRNA from 1 species
CCUACGGGAGGCAGCAGUGAGGAAUAUUGGUCAAUGGCCGUAAGGCUGAACCAGCCAAGCCGCGUGAAGGAAGAAGGAUCUAUGGUUUGUAAACUUCUUUUAUAGGGGAAUAAAGGUAUCCACGUGUGGAUAUUUGCAUGUACCCUAUGCAUAAGCAUCGGCUAACUCCGUGCCAGCAGCCGCGGUAAUACGGAGGAUGCGAGGGUUAUCCGGAUUUAAUGGGGUUAAAGGGUGCGUAGGUUGUUUUUUAAGUCAGCGGUGAAAGUUUGGGGUUCAACCAUAAAAUUGCCGUUGAAACUGGAAUACUUGAGUGGGUUUGAGGUAGGCGGAAUGCGUGGUGUAGCGGUGAAAUGCAUAGAUAUCACGCAGAACUCCGAUUGCGAAGGCAGCUUACUAGGCCAUAACUGACGCUGAAGCACGAAAGCGUGGGGAUCAAACAGGAUUAGAUACCCGGGUAGUC